CCAGACUCCUACGGGAGGCAGCAGUGAGGAAUAUUGGUCAAUGGGCGGGAGCCUGAACCAGCCAAGCCGCGUGAAGGAAGAAGGCGCCAGGCGUCGUAAACUUCUUUUGUCGGGGAACAAAGGGCGCCACGCGUGGCGUUGUGAGUGUACCCGAAGAAAAAGCAUCGGCUAACUCCGUGCCAGCAGCCGCGGUAAUACGGAGGAUGCGAGCGUUAUCCGGUUUUAUUGGGUUUAAAGGGUGCGUAGGCGGCCCGGAAGGUCAGGGGUAAAAGCCCGGGGCCCACCCCCGGCGAGCCGUUGAAACUGUCGGACUAGAGACGGCGAGAAGUACGCGGAAUGCGCGGUGUAGCGGUGAAAUGCGUAGAUAUCAGGAGGAACACCGGCGGCGAAGGCGGCCUGCUGGACCGCGACUGACGUUGAGGCUCGAAAGCGUGGGGAGCAAACAGGAUUAGAUACCCCCGUA
rnacentral:rRNA from 1 species